CGCAAUGGGGGAAACCCUGACGCAGCAACGCCGCGUGAGUGAUGAAGGCCUUCGGGUCGUAAAGCUCUGUCAGAGGGAAAGAAAUGCGGGAGGGUUAAUACUCCUUUUGCUUGACGGUACCCUCAAAGGAAGCACCGGCUAACUCCGUGCCAGCAGCCGCGGUAAUACGGAGGGGGCGAGCGUUGUUCGGAAUUAUUGGGCGUAAAGCGCGUGUAGGCGGUCUUUUAAGUCUGAUGUGAAAGCCCCGGGCUCAACCUGGGAAGUGCAUUGGAAACUGGGAGACUUGAAUACGGGAGAGAGUAGUGGAAUUCCUAGUGUAGGAGUGAAAUCCGUAGAUAUUAGGAGGAACACCGGUGGCGAAGGCGGCUACCUGGACCGAUAUUGACGCUGAGACGCGAAAGCGUGGGGAGCAAACAG
rnacentral:rRNA from 1 species